rnacentral:snRNA from 1 species
GUGCUCGCUUCGGCAGCACAUAUACUACAAUUGGAACGAUACAGAGAAGAUUAGCAUGGCCCUUGCACAAGGAUGACACGCAAGUUCGUGAAGCUUCCAUAUUUAAA